UACGGAGGAUGCAAGCGUUAUCCGGAUUUAUUGGGUUUAAAGGGUGCGCAGGUUGUUUGAUAAGUCAGUGGUGAAAGUCUGUCGCUUAACGGUAGGAUUGCCAUUGAUACUGUUGGACUUGAAUAUGGAUAAGGUAGGCGGAAUGUGUAGUGUAGCGGUGAAAUGCAUAGAUAUUACACAGAACACCGAUUGCGAAGGCAGCUUACUAAUCCAUCAUUGACGCUGAGGCGACGAAAGCGUGGGGAUCAAACAGGA
rnacentral:rRNA from 1 species